CAGUAGCCACGGGAAUACGAAGGGGGCUAGCGUUGCUCGGAAUGACUGGGCGUAAAGGGCGCGUAGGCGGAUUGUUUAGUUAGGCGUGAAAUUCCUGGGCUUAACCUGGGGACUGCGCUUAAUACAGGCAGUCUAGAGUGAGGAAGAGGGUUGUGGAAUUCCCAGUGUAGAGGUGAAAUUCGUAGAUAUUGGGAAGAACACCGGUGGCGAAGGCGGCAACCUGGUCCUUGACUGACGCUGAGGCGCGAAAGCGUGGGGAGCAAACAGGAUUAGAGACCCCGUAGUCCAUGUCUCUUAUACA
rnacentral:rRNA from 1 species